AGCCCGUUGUCCACAGGUGGGCUGAUUUUCAUGUCGUUGUCUUUAAUUUAAUUUUGUUUCCACUUUAAGUGUAAUAGUAUCUAAAGUUCUUGCUAAUUAGCCAGUCCCUUAAGUAUGAGGGUCUGCUGUCAGAGCUAAUCCAGGUACGCGUUCAUGACAGGAGCAGCAGUGGAAGUGUGCUGAGCCCUAAGUAUCUGGAAGUGGAGGAUUUAUGUCUGUGGAGGUCUGUCUGCGAUCGCAGGGGAAAGAGAUUUCCUCCGCUUUAUGGAAUCGGCAAGAACAAAAGAACCUACCAGCAGUCUGUAACGUGAAGAGUGUAUACUCCUUGAAACCUGCUUUUUCAGCCCCAGGUACCAGAGGUGAAAUCAUCCUGAUUAGCAGAUAGAGGUCUGUUCUUCUAAGAAGAGAAGCAGAGCAAGGAAGGUUAUCCCUAGAGGAGUCAUCAGCUAGCGGUUCGUGCACUGUAGGAAACAGAGGCAGCAAGCGGGCAGCCACCUUAUCUGCUCCUCCCACCUGUGCCGUGCUAGAUCCUGCUACCAGCUUCUGAAAUGUGAGGACUGAAUCUGCUUUCAUUGCUGCAGCAGUCCUACCUCCUCCAAUGCAAGCAGGCUCAGCGGGGUAAGCACACUGUCUUCAUAAGGCUCAGAAUCCGAAGAACUUUGCAGAAUUUGGUAAAUGGAACUAUUACCUUGUCCUGUCUGCUUACAGCUUGUGUUUGAGUUCUUAAGGAUUUGAGGGAAAGCUGGAGCCUCGCACUUACUCUCCACAACCACUGUAAACUAUUUUUGAGUAUGGCUCCUGGAAUCUGAAAGUUAUAUUUAUUCACUGAGUAAUAAUGUUAGUAGUGCCAAUAGCAAUGGGAAGUCCACAGUAAGAGUUCUGAAAUUAUAUAAAAAUAGUUGAGUUACAGCAAUAAAUAGCAUCAUUUGCGCUUUUGAAAACACCAAAGUUCUGAUGCAGUUUGGUUUGGAAUGCUGAAUGAGGCAAUAGGCUUCCUUCAGCUACGUCUGUACAUCCCUCCCUGUAACCAGCACUGUGAGCGUGCCCUUCAGAGAAAACUGCCUCGUCUACAGACGAGUGAGCAGCCUCAGCCGCCGUACUCGGGAGGAGCACAGCAUCAGGAACAGCACCGUAACACAGGGGAAUAGCCUACGCCAGUUAGGGUCCGUGGUACUCACACACUUCUAGGCUAGCGGGUACACUUUUCAAAGGCUUAAACAAUGUUCUGUUUAAUCCUUAUCAACAGUCAAAAGAACAGGUUAAGCACAGUCCAAAAGAAAUAACCAAAUACACAAACUGGAGCCAUUAUCUACUGUGGCUCCCUGGGUGCGGGUAACUCAAAGGGUAACUUUUCAGGUGCUUGCACGUCAGCAAUGUGAUUGUUACAAAAGUUCAGUAUUCGGGCCAUCCUCCUGUAACUUCUCAACACAGAGCUGUGAACUACUUCUUGUUUUCCUUCCCCAUCUACUUACCACCUUUAGCAGCUAAAUACUUGCUGCAUUAGAAAAGAAUUUUCCAGGGGAGAGAAGCAGGGAGCCUUGGUAGCAGAGUCCAACAGGACGCACACUUUAAAGCACUGUUGAGCCAAUGCACUUGCACUUGUUGAAUUCCUUAUUUUACUUGAAAAUUAUACAUAGAAAUAUACAAAAGCGAUGCACUAAAUCAGUUUCAUUUGCAUAACGGACCUUUAUGGAUUUUGAUUUCCAGUCACAGACCAUCCACACAUCAACUGAUACCACGCUUUCUCCUUAGACAAUAAUCCUCUGCCUUUCACCUUAGAGUUGAGAACUGGUUUAAUUAUAACCUUCAUUCCUGUAUGCCUUCAUGAAAGGAUAUUAAAAGGUAAACUAAGUUGAAAGUAAAGCUGUAGGGGGCCCCUUGCUUUGAGUCAAAGGUUUACAAAGUAACGCUUUCAGAGUGUAGGUUACUCCGCAGUUUUAGGCCAGUUUUGUGUUCACACUUGAACCUUGCACAGCAAAAGGCCGUAGCGCGGGCAGACCUUCAGCCCGGUGGCUGAACUACUCCAGGGAGCAAACAUGAAAAUGAGAUUUCCUAGCUGCUGUGAAUAAAGCGGGGAAAGAAGAUUAGAAGGUGACUCUCGGAAAGCCCCAACACUGGAUCACUGUCCUUAGCAAUUGUCACAGCAAAGCUGAGAAGCUUGAGAAGGUUUUGUACACCUGCAAAAGCAGAGCAGCUGUUUUCCUGAUGUAGGGUGUUACAGCCCGCUACACGGGGGACAUCCACGGAGAGAACCGCAGCACUGAAAGCUCCUGCAACGUUCAGUGGAAGCAACUGGGUCUCCCCACCUAAGAGCCAGAUUCUAUAUGCAUAAAGAGCCUUAAAUGAGAUGAGAACAGGGUAACGAGAGUGUAAGACCACGGGGCAGAAGGUAGAAUCUAGAGUGACACACAGCUUUCAGAGCCUCAUCCUUGACACCGGUGAAAUGAAGAGAUCCUGCUGAAUUGGUACCUCCCUCCACAAGCUUCACCAUCAACAGUUUUAACUACUUUGCCUUGGCAGAUGCGCUGAUGGACAAUAGAUGCACAACACAGUAUCUUACACUCUCCGCUGAAAACAGCUGUUCUUCAGGGGACCAGGGACCAACAACGCAAGGCUGCGAUUCUUCCCCAACCUGUACGAGAUGUGUGCUCAAUGGCAGGUAGCCACGAGUGAACCAGGGGAGCCACGUGGCACCUGCACCGACGUCUGAUAGAGCUGGGCAGGCCCCUGCGGCAGCCAUCAGGUGCUCAUGCUGUGCUGCCAGUCCGUACCAACAGAAAACAAGCAAAAUGCGUGUGUGGGCGCGUAACGCAGUGUUAGCCCGUCUUCCCCAAGGACGCGAAGAUACAAUGGCAGCAAACAGAACUACUUAAAGCAACUGUAAAAUAAAAGUGCAUCAACCUAGAUAAAGCUCACGUUGGUGGAUGGUGUCAGUCGUUUGAAAACUGAAGGGUUACCAAAACAGGAACAUGCACGUAAAAGAAAAGAAAAAGCCAUGGUUAAUUAGCAUUUCCGUAGUAGGGUUUCUUGAGCGUCUAUUAAAAAAACGACAAAAGACACACGCGUGUGGCCUAACAGACAUCAGAGGUUGAUACUGGCCAUAGUGCUAAAGAACUGGAGGCUACGUUCCUCCCUUAGCAGUGUUUUGUUAAAAAAUAAUAUUCUGAAUUCCUUUAAGCUUUUGGAACACCCUACCCCUGAAGAAUUGUGUUAAGGCUGCCUAGCCCUGCUUUAUUCUGUGUCCUUUCCCAACAGCAUCACUCCAGGUCUGCUUCAUGCUUUUUUGUAUCUCUCUCAGGCUACCGCUGUUAGAAAUUUUCCAAGACGAAUGCACCAUUUUUCAUUAGCGCUCUCUACUUCCCAUCUUGAUGCUUUGUGAAGAUCCUGCUUCUAUCCUUUUGAUGAAAGGACAGGAAAAACAUCCCACGUAACAACACGUUCUCUUUUUAAGCUGCCUGGCAAUAGCACACAAGAUGUGUGCUCUACAAAUCGAAGCUCUGCUUCUGCAGAUGUUUUCUCUGGAGCCUUGUUUCUUUGGUACCUUUCCCUUUCAGCAGUCCUGUCCCAGGCCCAAAACCCAUGCACCCUUUUAAAAAUCUGUUUUCCUUCGAGUCUGUGACACCCCUGCCUUUUAAUGGUGACGUGUUUUUUUGCCCCUUCCCUUCUUGGCUGCAGUAGAUGUUACUGGAACGGAACCUCCUACAUGUCACUCACGACCGAGCGUCACCUUUGCUGCCCUCCCGUUGCACGACUGGCGCCUCGGCGUGUUUCGGCUUCCAUUGCUCUUUCUGGUAUCAACAACAUAUUUUGCAAACAAGGUCUAGAAGCCAAAGACACUGGCUUUCCGGCCCAGCAGAGCAAAGCAUCAGCCAAUUUCUAUUUGUAAUACAGUGCGACUGUCUGACGUUGAACCCUUGCGAGAAGCAGGGCUCUCCUGAGCAUGAAGGGACAGACAGCAUUAUUUUUUACGUGCUAGUUUGCUGCGUCUGAGAACAUUAAGGCUUGGGCCCAAUUUCAGAAAAACCUAUGGCAAGCUGGGUUUCGUGUUGCGUUGUGACCCUACUGGCAGAUGGUAAUGCUGUAUUUCAAAGGGUAAGUACAGUUGCCUCUUUCCCAGUACUUACCCUUAUGAAAUAAGCUGUGGGGGUGCAGUUCCCAGUAGGCAGAUAAUUUCUUCAAGACUUGAUGCCUGAACCCAGAGAUUUGGCACAACUCUGCGAUGGAAUUCAUUCACCGAUUCAGACACAGAUGCUUUUAAGGUGUGUUAAAAAUGCACACGCAGUGCAGUCAGUCUGAGUGUUGGAUUUGGCAUCAGAAUGUCUCAGUUAGAUGCAAGAAUGUGUAAAAUCACGAGCCAGACAGCUCCCUGCUGACUGCAUAUCUGAGGAAGCUUAUAUGCACCGUUUAUUCCAGCAAAUGCAUGGAAUAUAUAGUGCUUGUUAAAUGUGUUCCCAAAAUGCUAGUUUCAGGCAGAAACAUGCAAAUAAAUGGUGCCUAGGGUUAAAACCUCCCACUUACAGUCAAAUCCCUCCUCUUUUGAAGGAUCUACCAGCUCAGAUGCUGCAGACCUUUAUCUGACCCAAUAUACUUUUAGGAGAACUACAGCAUGCUGAAGAAGCAACUGUUUAUCAUGUAGGCCGUUCCCGCCUACUUCUUAGAGAUGUAGCCCUUCUCCCCCCAUCCCCUUUCUUUUGUGUAAAAGACCAAACCAAAACUGGACACUACCCAUUGGUUUUAUGAUUGUAUACAGCUUCUUCAGGCUCCAAGUUCAAAAGGAAGUGAGAAAACCUUAAUGAAGACACCAAGAGUCAUUUUUUUAAAAACAGCAGAGCGGCAGAUGUACUCGCCCAAAUGGCACGUUCUUAGACGUCCAUACGAGAAAUCCAAGAUCGGGUAAGCUGUAUGGGGUUGCAUAUACUAGAUACCUACAUGGCACUUAGACCAGUCCUACUCCGUGCAUUAACCUGCGUUCAACCACUGGCACUCGCUCCACCUCUGACUGCAACAGCUCUGCAGCCAACAAACACUUUUUCAAGCACUUUGGUAUCAUCCAGCUUAAGAAGUUAACAAAAUGUAACACUGCCAUCUCAGUUUCUGAUUUCUCCCAGACUCUGCUGAUCACAGAGUGAUGACUAGAGUUGUCAGCUUAAAGUUUCCUGUCUCACAAAUGUGUUGAAAAAUACUCCCAUUCGCCUUCUGAUUCAACGUAAAGGAUAUGGUUCUUAGCAGGGAUUUCUUGCAAACACCUAUCUGAAAAACAUGAGCUGAACGUGCCUUAGCGAAGACUAAAGCACCCAUGGCCGUAAAUUACUACGCCUCAGGGCAUAGUGCGAGGUCUAAAAACUUCUGCACACAGCCUGCCGACAGGCAGGGCAGUGAGGCAGAUGGAGCCUUAUUUCUGUGCUCAGGUCUACAACGGUCCCAUCAAAAACCAUCGAUGCUGGCCGAGCAAUGCCCAGUUGUUGUAAAUGCAAACACGGUCACCUUACUUUGAGCAUAACAGCAACGUUUCCAUGUUGUACUCCUAUCUUUCUGGGAAAGCAAUUCCUCUUUGGGGAGGAAAGCGAACCAGGGGCCCUGCCCAGCGCCAGGACAUUAACUGCUAGGUGUGCAUGAAGAGCUCUGCAAAGUGAACUAUGAUGGCUGCGAGUUUCCUCUUCAGACCCUCCUUUAUAUACUUUUCCAUUAGCACAACUAGGGCUGCAGCAGGCACAGCAAAGUUUUCCAGCACAAACUUCACCUAAAAAAAAAGCUACUCGCAAAGUUUGUUUUGAUUUUUAAAGUCAGCAGUUGCAAGAACAACUCAAAUCUACUGGCUGUACUUACAAAACUGAUAAAAAGCGGUCCACAUGUUAACAGCAACAUUAGGUGAAAAAAUUAUCUAUAAAAAUACCAGCCACAUGCUAAAUGAGGUGACAUCAAGGCAAUAAAUAGCUCCAUCUGUAUGAAAGAGUUUGUAGAACAACCCAGAAGACAUCUCUGAACAAAAAACUAACUAGCUAUGGAUAAAGUAGUACUGAAAAAAAGUGGGUUGGAUUGUUUUUGGUUAAAAAAAAAAAGAGAAAAAAGAUCAGUUUUACAUAUUUUUCUCAGAUCACUUUAUAAAUCUGCUGCACAUUAGAAAUCAGACACACAUGUAUUUUUUCGAAGCAAAGCAAGUUGAAGGUUUACAUUUUUAAUAGCAAUGUGACUAUUUCUGAAUGGCAGCAGUAUAUAUUACAUGCAGUGUGAGAGGGUUAAACAGGACAGCCUCAACUCUUUAUAAACUUUUGCCCUCUGGAUAUGUACUCAUUGGCUGCUGUACAAGACUUGAGCUGUAUUACACGCCUUCACGAUAUGGUUCAACUGUCGGUCAGGCUCGGGGCCUGGCAAUAGGCCAGACCGCAAUCAAUGGGACACAAACCUCCCCCUUUCAGAUCAUCACGAAGGCUCAUAUUAUCUCCUUUUUGUCGUGCUGGUUAAAUUUAUGGAGCAGAACCCCGAAGCUGCAUUCCUUGGCUUGGGCCGGCCCACGCGGGCCUCCCUUUGUUUGGUACUGUAAGCGAGGCGUGCUUUGGAGGAUUGCAGGGUUGUUAGUUCAGGCACUGACUGUUUGCUCAUGACUGAAAUGAAAAGAGUUCAGUGGAAGGGCAAAAGGACAGCACAAGUGUAAAACCCCAUCCCAGCAGGCCCUGGGCUCCCAUCGACAGACUCUGGACUAGGACCGAACAGAAAACCUCUCCGUUAACGACAAAGGAAAAAAAAUCUCUCUAGUAACAGGUAAACAGCCCAGCAGCGUUAGCACACACCUUGCCCCAAGGUCCCUUGCUUUCAGGUCACAAAAUUAUGGAUGUAAGAAACCUUUAAUGUGAUGUCAAGGCAAAAUCAUCUGGAGUGAAAGCAAAUGGAACGACUACUUGAAAGACAGUAUUCCAAAUACAUGCAAGAGACAUACAGACACGGGAAACCACAGGGACUCUUACUGAUUAUGCACGUAACAUAAGUCUCUCUGAUUCCGUUCUGGGAGGUACCAUCGCAGACUGGUUAAAGCUGCAGCCCUCUGUAAUUGUUCCAGAGCACACUGCACCGGCAGCACCGCGCAGCAGAGCGCUUUCUGAAUAAGGUGGGAUCUAGAACACGCAAGAAUGCCAGACAACAGGAAACACAUCACACAGUGAACGGUGCUCCUUUUACUUUCUGGCCUUGGUGUCCAAAAGCUCUUGCUGAAGUAUAAGAUAAUUAGACAAACUACACAGGCUCUAGAAAUACAAGUAUCUCCUAAGGAAAUACCAACUCCUCCCUGUCUAGAUGCUUUUCUUUUUGUUAAUAGCCAAAUACUGUGAAGUGCAUGCACAGCGUAAGAAUUCCAGUUUGUGGAGCAAAUGCAGCCCUCUUAAUUGUCACUGCAAGUGUAAGUAGUAGAAUGAACCUGUGGUAAAUCCAACAAAGGAUUUAUCAGCACUUUUCAGAAGGAAGCACAUAAUUGCUUAAAUUUUUGAUGGACUACGCCAGGCCUACAUGACAGUGCCUCGGAUUUAACCCAACUGGAAAACAUUAGUUACCUCUUGCAAACGUCUGCCUGUCCCAAAAGAAGCAGCAACCCCACGCCUUCAGAAGCGCCGCAUUUGGAAGCAAGUGUUGUACCCAUGACGUCCCUUUUCAGCCUCCCCUCCUUCCGCACCGGUCUGUCCUAAAACAACGUCAUGCCUUUCCUCACAAACUCGUGCCUUUCCCAAACCAGUUACUGUGCACAAUGAAGUCAAGCUUAGUCUGGUUCCUGUUCUGAACCCAGCCACAGCAGCAGCCUUCUGUUCAAUGCGAACGCUACCAAGCGUCAUGGAUGCAGCGCCCCGCACCCAGCGAUGGAAGCGUUCUUGCCUCUAGCCGUAACUUACCAAGGCGCUAUUCUCGUUUGGCAGAGGCUUUCACAGUAAGAACUCUGUAUUCAUUCAUCUUUUGAAAUUAUUUGUUGCUAAUAAUGAACGGACUUGCAAAGAAAAAUGUGAUUUCACAUUUUGUGCUCGGCUAACUACUCAGCAUUAUUCACUUCAAUGCCUUCCAUUUUUACUCAUCUGUCCUCCCCUCGCAACACUCCCUCCCAAGCCCUUUCGCUUUCUGUCCCUUAAACCAGCAGUCUGAAUGCAUCCAGGGUAUCUUUCUGCCCUCAAAGUUAAACACUGAUGUUUUAGUGGAAAAUCCUUCUUAUUCACAAAAUAGGUGCUGGUAUUUAGAAUGACAGUUCAGUCCCUCAUAAAUUCUCCCUUUCUAAUGUUAACAGACAUGUUAGGACGAGAGGAAACAGCCUCAAGCUGCGUCAGGGGAGGUUUAGGUUGGGUAUUAGGGAAAAUGCCUUCCCUGCCAGAGCGGUCAGGCCCUGGCACAGGCUGCCCAGAGAGGGGGGGGAGUCACCAUCCCUGGGGGCGCUCAGAAAUGUGCAGACAUGUCACUUGGGGCCAUGGUUUAGGAGGCCUGGGGGUGUUGGGUUGGGGGUUGGACUUGAUGGUCUUAGAGGUCUCUUCCAGCCUUAACGAUUCUAUGGUUCUAUGAUUCAAUAUGGCCUAAUGCAAGCCAGUAAUUGCCUCUUUUUUUUUCUAAAACCUCCUAUUACUCAAAACUGUUAUAUACAGCAGAUGUGAAAGUAACCACAUCUAUAUAAUAUUAAUGAAGUAUUACAUUGCUGCUGUAGGUUCAAACACUGCUUUUUUCUUCCAUUCUUUCCAUAUAGUUAAAUUGAGUCAAGUUCAAAAAAGGGGACAGACACAGCCAACUGUAGAGACAACUGAUUUCACAAAUAUUCCAAAUAUAAAUGGUGUCCAGUAAUGCAGACACCUAGCCAUAACCACCUGGAAACACUAUUCAGACGUAAAGCAAGGUAUUUGCAGUAACACAUAAAAGGGUGUUAUAGUUUGGUUUUAUAGCAGGUUUUACCACUUUAUGUCCAUUCAACCGUCUAAAAAGGAAAGGAAGAGGGAUAUGUUAGCGCAGAGUCUGGGUUUUCCAAAUCACCCUGACUUCUGCUGGGAGCUGAGCAGCUAACAGUGCUUUCCUGCAACGAACAACAUAGGAACACAGGGAGCUGAGGCAUUUUCAUACGUGCGGCUCUAGAAUUAGAGACUCUGCAAUAAAAUAUGAUUAAGCAAACUGAAUGUUUUAAAGGUUCAUCUUUCUUUUACUAUAUCCUGUGGAUUAAAAAAAUAAUUAAAACUACAGGCAGCAGAGAUAUUUUCUUCAACCAUGCAAUGCAAGUUCUGCUUUAUUGUGAAGGACGGAGGCUGCGCUCCCACAGCUCUUUGCCCUAGAGGGGGAAGGCAAAGGCAAAAACCUGUGAGAUGCCCAGCCUGUCAGUCCCGGAGGAGGGCACGAAGAAAAAGCUGCCCCCCCCAUAUUUCUUUCUCUCACAGAGUUGUUCUUGGGCUUAACUCCACUAUCCUGUAUUUCUAAAGUAAGAUCACUGUGAAAAUGAUAUUUUUGUUUUGUGAAAUAAUAAGUUGUAUUAUCUAAAGACUGACUUCUUUAGGAUUAGUCAGUGUAUGAAUAGGCAGAGAUUCAGAAGUGCAGUGGAAUGGGGGAUGGCACCGCACUCCAUCCUCAAUUCUCACGAUUUUAGGCACUCCACAAGAGUAACCACAUGCCCCAACUGCUUGAAUUCCUUCCACAGAGAUUUAAGGGGAACUAGACUGGUGGAGUGAACAUGCAAAGCAAUCCUGGCAGGGUUCCCCUCACAGUCAAACACAAUCAUUACUUGACACUUUUGUGACAAAAAGCCCUAUUAGUUUCUUCAAGUACCGCAUGUGAGACUUAUUUCUGUGUAGUCUAGGGAAGACUGCACUUCCUUAUAAUCUGAGUAAUUUCUUCGGAAAAUAAUUCUGAGUUAGGGCAAGGAAAAAAUAAAUCAAUCUUACAGAAAGCUGCAGAAAAGAAAAGCAUAGUCACAACUACAUGCCCGAAGUGUCUCAUGGCAGUCAGCGCCAUUCUCUGAACAGGGAAAAGGAAGAGAAACCUGUUUUCUGUUCAUUCUUGAGGGUAGCUUCAUUUACUUAGAAAUCAUUUUUGGUCUUAGGCAGUGGAUUAUUGUCUCUUUCUAGUUAAGAAACUAAACUAGCUGAGGUGCAUUAUCAGAAAAUUAAGGUUUCAAGAUGAAGGUAUCCAUAGUGGAAAGGUAACAGGGCUGCAGUCUGAAGAGCCGCCCCCCCCGGCGAAUCUCCAUUCACUGACGCAGCAAGCACGAGCAGACAGCUGAAGAACAGCGCGGGGUCUCCGCCAGAACUACCCAAAGUUACCAGCGGUAAAUGAAAACCUAACCGAAGAACACCGAGCAGGUGAGACUGGUAAGGGGAAAGGAUUAAAGCAGGGAGAAGUGUCUACUGAGGCACUGCAAAAUGUGUGGGCACAAAACCAGGCUUGCUUAACUUCAAGGAUCUAGUAAAAGCAGCAUGUAAAAUUACAUUUGGAGAGGACAAAGUAAGAGGCGUUUAAAACUCCAUUGAGGACAAUGAAGUACUAAAGGACCUGAAGAGGUCAGAAAUAUGGCAGGAAAUGAAAUGGGAUUCAACCUACAAAAUUGCAACCUGGUUCAUCUGGGGAAAAAUAAUCCAGAACACAAAUAUUAAAUGACAAGGAGAUAUUUGCAAAGCAGUAAAAUAAAACAAAACUUUAAAAAACCACCCCACCUCUUGGGGGAAAAUAGCGAGCAGAAAACUGGAUAUCAAUUUGCAACGUGAUAUGGCAGUAAAACCAGCCAGCACAGUUCUGGAUGACUUGCAGAGCACAGCUUGUCACAGACCCGGGAUAUGACGGUCCCUUUUCACACAAUACUGAUGGGAACUUACAGGCCGGGGGGAUUUCAAAGUAACUCAGCAGCAGCAAUGGAGGAAUCUGGAUAGGCUAAUGACAGAGGAAUGUAAACCCGUAAAAUCGAGUUCAGCAGUGACUGAAGAUGGGAGGUGGGGCUAACACUGAGGCAAAGCCAGUGUCUACAGCCAUUUAACAGGGUGCCACCGGAGUAAAAUGGACAAACUCGCUCAAAAUAAAACCGACCGUUUGAGAAAACAGUUCGUUAUAAAGACCCGUUAUCCCGCUGGGAAAAAAGAGGAAAGAGGAUAUGAAGGAAAUCAUGCUGCCCAAGUCAUUUACAGAUUAGAUUAAUAAAUCAGCUGAACUGUCCUGUACGCAACAUUGCCAGAUUUACACAACACAAUGAACACUCGCCGACAAAUUCUUGUUUCUAGGAAAAUCUUAGGGGGGGCUUACCAGAAGAAUAAUGUCUCGCUCACCAGAGUCACGGCCCAUACAUGACUGACAUUACUGUAAAGACCCUUGAAGUAAGGUCCAGAUCAAGUCCAAGGUCGGGAUGGAAUUUGGAACACAUACAGAGGUGUUAAGGUUCAAGUAAUAUUUAACCUUAAAACUUGAGAACCUUGGGAAUAUACUGUUUGCAGUACAUUAGCUGAGUUGGUGUUCCAUACAGUCGGGUACCUAUUUUCUACUACUUCUCAGUGUCAUUGACACCCACGCUCCCAGGUUUUCUGCUUUAGACCUUACAAUCCAAACCACAGCUAUCAGAGAGAUGGACACACGAAGGAAAAACAGAAUUAAAAUCACCUGCUGUUGAUGUUGUCUCAAACUUUGCAACCUCACUGCACUUUUCUGGGUGAAAGCAUGGAAGCGGUGAGGAAAAGAACAACUAGUACAGGCUGCUCCUUUGCAGGCAAAGCACAUUUAAAAGAAUCAAAUAUUUACAUAAGAAGUUUCUGUGACCAUACUGGCUUGCCAAUCUCAAACUAUUCCUAACUAACGCGGUCUAGUUCCCUGAACGAAUUCAUUAGAAUUGGGUAGGUCACAGACUUCUCUCCUUACUUCUAAGUUUCACAUUGUGACUGUCAGAAAAGAAUACAAACCCUUGCAACAACAGUUCAAGAAUAAUCUUAAACUUGCACUGACCUGGCAGAAGCCUGAGAGAAAGCCACAAGGGCAGUUUCCUCCGCUGCUUGUGAAGUUAGACACACAUCUAAAUAUAAAUGUUCUUUACUUGUGCUGCACCAGGACUUAAAACACGUUUCUAGGAGAGAGCUUUCCAAGCAGAUCUAGAGGCAUAACAGCUUUCCUGUUUUGAACUGGUCUUUAAGACUUUUGGCAGUAUAUGACAAAUAUGGAAAUAAUCAGAACUCUUGUAUGUGACACUAGAGUACUUGGAACACAUAAAACCCACUCAAAAAAGGUAUCAAGUCACAGGCAUUAACUGCUUAUAAAUUAGAUGUAUGCUGCAUUGUCAACAACUAUUUUAUGCUCUCCCCUGCAUUAAAAUUUAAAAGUAUUAAGGCAGCUUUAUUAAUAAAAAACAAGCAUAAUAAAUUAUAUGAUUACAUAAUAAGUUAUAAGAUUAGGCUUGAAAAAAUCCUGCCUAAAGUCAGAUUUUAAAAAUAUUUUCUCAUCCUUUAAACACAUCACCUUUUAAACGACCACUGAAGCUACAAAGCCAUCGUCUGCCUCUCAGCCGCAUUAGUCUGGCUCCAUGUUCCAAACACAGGGUUACGCUGGCUGCCGGCGUCCCGAUACAAAUCAAUACAUUCUGAAGCCACGAGACCUACGCCCGCGCAGCGUGACCACAGUAACACAAGCCACAGAGUCUCCCUCAGCGUUCUGCCCGCCCAGUGACUCUGCUGGCAUUAGGACAUGCCUUUUAGGAAAGCCUACAACCUCAGUUAAAAUUCACCUCACUCAGAACUGAUCCAAUGGUUAAAGUCAAGCAGCUUAAAUUCAGGGCUUUUUAAAAAUUCAACCAUGUAAUUAGAGAAUUGUGAGGGGCCUAUACUUCACGCUCAUGUAUCAUGCUAUUUAAAUGCAACUGUAAUUAACUGGUUGACUCAACUUUGCACCAAUACCAGAAACUCGCACACACGCUGUCGGUCUCAAGAAAAGGUCAAGAUGGCUCUUACCAAGCUGAUUAACUCCCAUUCUUCAACUGCUCAAAACUACACUCGAGGUCAGUUACUGCCAUAAACUGCGAUUCGGCAGGGUUAGCUGUUUUUGUGCACUUUGCUUGGAAGAGUCCACAUGGCCCAGCAUGCUUAAACAGAAUAUUCAACUGGAGCCAGCAGCUCGGGUUUGGAACACUGUCCUAUUUUGAUUCCAAACCACACAUAUUUGAACAGUUAACAAAUGCAGCAGGGGGAUAUUGGUACACAGCAGUCUAAAAAAUGUACAAAUCCUUUGUUGGACUUUUUUUUUUUUUUUUUAAAUACACCCGAAAGAACAAUCUGGUUGCUUCGUUAUAUAAGCACAUCAAAAAAAACCCCUUACCAAACAAAAGAUGAGUGCAACGUUGCUUUUAUGUGGUGAUGAUGUUAUUUGGGGUUUUUUCCCCUCCUACAUUAUCUACAUGUUCUCAAGUAUAUUUGUUUAUCUAAAAUAAGUUUUGAUCAGAUUUUUUUAGACUGGAGAGGUGUAGCAAGUGGGAAAGGUUUGGUUUGUUGUUUGGUUUUUUUCUCCUUGUAUAAGGUUGCUGUAUCAGAAACUUUUUGCAGAGUGUGUGUAAACACUAAAGUAAUUUCACAGUGUGCUCGUCUAGGACGUUAGUGUGCCAGAAUCUAGCGGAAGCAAAAACGUGGUUCAGCUCAUCUGUCUUAACCUCAUCCCUUAACUGACAGUUAACACGUUGAAAGGAAAUACGUCCCGUAGGCAAACACAAGCUAGAGAUAAGGUUGGCUGAAGGCAACUCUCCCAGUCGCUGUCUGGUUUGUCAACUGUUGGUAACAUCACGGCUCCUGUGCACAGGCUGUAUCUCACAGAGGUAUGUCAAAACAGGAAUUUAAAGUAUAUAUGUGUCUUGAAACAAACUAACACAAACACAGCUGAACUGGUAAGACAACUAACAGUACAGCCAGGUGUGUUUCUCCCCACCUUUAAAUAAAUCAACCAAUCUGUACCAUCACAAAAUUAAGACACAUACAAGCAAAAGAGCAGUCGUGUUUUCUCAGGGAUGCGCUCAGAGCUCCCGUGUAAUUUUAUGUGUGCACAUACUUAUCAAAGAGUAACCCUUGACCUCUUGGGUUUACAAAUCAAGCUACGCACCAAAUACAUAAGACACACGUGAACACCUCCAUUUUCGCAGCACUGCACACCUAGGUUCACCCUUCAAAGUUUCCUGCACCUCACCCACACUCCAUCGAGCUCGUUGUUCUUUACUGGAACGCUGAUGGUAGACGCUUCAGGACCCCAGGCAUGGUACAAUAAAACACAGGAAAUGGAAAAGCCAAAUGGGAAGACAAAACAACCAGAAAACCCAACUUUUGGCAAGCAUUUUCCUCUAAGUUUUCUGCCAAUAAAUUUACUUAGGAUUUUCUUUCACUUCUUCAGCACGCAGGAUCUCACAUACGUAGAACAGGGCUUCUUGGCACAGCGCCAUCAUAUACAGUGAGCUCUUGGCCACAGAGAGUAAAAAGAAUCUUCUCUCAGAGUGGCCUUUUUAGAACUUAGCCCUCUCCCUCUUCCACGUUCAUAGUCAGUGCUAACGAACAUUCAUUUACUUUAAAUAUAAUUAUUGUUAUUUUGUAGAGACCACAUCGCACUAGCACCCGGACACGGGAAGCAAGCCAGAGCAUCUGUCCUGACGUGCCGACACUUAUCGCCCACGUAUGUGCGGGUAAACGGGUAAGCAUGUGGCCAUAAGGGCACAUAUCCCCGCUUCGUGUAAGCGAGAACUGUUGUACCAAACGACAGCUGGAAGAUAAUGCCACUCUACUGAUGCCACAACUCUUCAAACCUUUGCAGAAUUGUUUUUCUACACAACUAAAUGGAAGCUGGAGGUCGAGCAGGGAGAACUCUUCCAUUUAAGCUCUGCAUAAGGAUUCCAUCUCAUCACAUACAGCCUUUUAAAAAUUCUGCUUUAAUCUAAUGCCGAAGCUUAGUAAUCCCUAUUUGAUGCUGCAGCGUUCCCAUGCAAACUGCACUCCUGUUACAGUGUCAACAAAUGCCGUCUAUUAAAGAAAAAGCAAAUUGAGUGAAAUGGGCUACAUCACUAAUAACAGCUCACAGUAAUUGUUGAUUAAAUGAUUGCUGCUUUGGGUAAGGAAAGAUAAUCAGAUCAGAAACUGCAGCAGGUAUUUACACGCACUUUUACAGUUUUAUUGAUUGGAAACAUAAACCGCGUACUGACCUGGGG